AUUGAACGCUGGCGGCAGGCCUAACACAUGCAAGUCGAACGAGUGGCGGACGGGUGAGUAAUGUCUGGGAAACUGCCUGAUGGAGGGGAAUAACUACUGGAAACGGUAGCUAAUACCGCAUACCAUCGGAUGUUCCCAGAUGGGAUUAGCUAGUCGGUGGGGUAAAGGCUCACCUAGGCGUCGAUCCCUAGCUGGUCUGAGAGGAUGACCAGCCACACGGGAACUGAGACACGGUCCUGACUCCUACGGGAGGCAGCAGUGGGGAAUAUUGCAAAAUGGGCGCAAGUCUGAUGCAGCCAUGCCGCGGGUAUGAAGAAGGCCUUCGGGUUGGAAAGUACUUUCAGCGGGGAGGCGUUACCCGCAGAAGAAGCACCGGCUAACUCCGUGCCAGCAGCCGCGGUAAUUC
rnacentral:rRNA from 1 species